GUUUUUCAAACCUUGUGUUUUUGUUAUAAUUGUUUUUUAGAGUAGUGUUUCCUAGCCUUAUGAGGCAAGGAAUACAUUUUACAUAAAAAAAAUAUCUUACGGCACACCAUAGGAAAUUUUAAAUGAAGGUAGCAUGUCGCUGUGGAUUGGAGAAAAUCGCGAUCCAAGCAGCAGCCGAUUAUUUUGGUCGGUUUUCGACUGACGUCAGGGACGUCCCUUUCCCCUCUCAAGAAAAGUAUUUUUUUUUUUGGGUGGCAUUAAGUUUGCGUCAGACGCCAGCCCUGGAAAACCCAUCACAGCUGAGGAAACUCCACACGGACCCAUGGAUUUCGCCCGUGGCAACCCUUCGCAUGUGGAUUUCCUACAAGACAACAACAGAAAGCAUCAUCUCUAGAACAAACAGCAAUCGGGCAUGCAAACACAUCGCAAGAAUCCUUCGGAGAUCUGCCAGGCUGCAAAGCAGGCGCAAAAUGACAUCAUUAAAUGGAGAGGGCACAGGAGGUCGACGCCAUCCUCUGCUUGACCAUCACCGUCAACGCCCUCCGGGAAAGAUGAGUUUAUCUUGCAGCUGAUGGACAGGGUCCCCACGGUGGCUGUUCCCCGCGCUCCAGACGCCUGCUCGGGCGAUAGCAUUGUCUGCGUGUCCAAAGACCUGCCGGCUGCCCUAUUCCGCCACGUCUUUAUCAUGCUAAUACAGCCAGAGACGGAAGCAGGGAGGCGGGAGAGAGGAACGAUAGCUCCGCAAAUAGAGGAGAGUUAAUGGAGCUCUUUGUGUGCCGCUUCCCUUCAUGAAGCCGCCGCUACGACACAAAAGGUCAGCGCCGCUACCACCUGACAAGCCGGCGCGGACGCCGCGGAUCUCUCGUUCACCAGGGUGACGGUGGCCGCACGGGUGACUUGAAUAUUUGAGGACAAGUUCCUGAUGGCAGUUUCACGUCACCUCUUGACCUCUUCACACCCAAGUGCCUCAAUAUGGACGGCAUGGUGCCAUUGCAAGCACAGUCUUGGAGGUUAACACAAGAGUACAUCACCGUAUGGUGCCGAACCUCUGCGGAACACCUGCUCUCCCGAUGUGCAUCCAAAUCUGUGAGGCCGAAUCGAUUGGGCCAACUCGGGGGAUGGCACGACGGGCC